rnacentral:lncRNA from 1 species
ACCUAUCCCGAGGUCUUUAACGAACUUAUUCGUUUGAUUAAUUAACAUAUUAAUCAAUCCUUGCCAUAAAUAAAUGAUUAAACCAUUUAAUCAUUCUUACUCAUCUCCGUUUACUCUCCAAUCUCCACCUCUUAUGGUGUGCGAUCCAUUAGGUUCCUUUUAGCAAGGCAGUGGGCGAUUAAAACCAUUUCAAAUCGAUUGUGAAUUGAAACUUA